UACGAGUGGCUCAAGCGUUAUCCGGAAUUAUUGGGCGUAAAGGAUGUGUAGGUGGUUAUAUUAGUCGAAUGUCUAACCUUCCGGGCUUUACCUGGAUUCAGCAUUCGAAACGGUAUGGCUAGAGUAUGUUAGGGGUGAGCGGAACUCAUAGUGUAGGGGUGAAAUCCGUUGAUAUUAUGGGGAACACCAAAAGCGAAGGCAGCUCACUGGGACAUUACUGACACUGAAACAUGAAAGCGUGGGUAGCGAAUGGG
rnacentral:rRNA from 1 species